rnacentral:lncRNA from 1 species
ACAAGGAUCGGGAUAUAAACCCAGGCAUUCGAGCCGGCAACAGCAACCCCCUUUGGGUCCCCUCCUUCCUAUGGGAGCUUUGUUUUCACUCUAUUUCACUCUAUUAAAUCUUGCACUGCACUCUUCUCGUCCAUGUUUGUUACGGCUCGAGCUGAGCUUUUCGCUCGCCGUCCACCACUGCUGUUUGCCACUGUCGUAGACCCGCCCCUGACUCCCAUCCCGCCACUGACUCCCAUCCCUCCAGAUCCGGCAGGGUGUCCGCUGUGCUCCUGAUCCAGCAAGACUCCGGUUGCCACUCCUGAUUUUGCUAAAGGCUUGCCAUUGUUCCUGCACGGCUAAGUGCCUGGGUUCGUCCUAAUUGAGCUGAACACUAGUCACUGGGUUCCACGGUUCUCUUCCAUGACCCACAGCUUCUAAUAGAGCUAUAACACUCACUGCAUGAUCCAAGAUUCCAUUCCUUGGAAUCCGUGAGGCCAAGAAUCCCGGGUCAGAGAACACAAAGCUUGCCACCAUCUUGGAAGCGGCCCACCACCAUCUUGGAAGCGGCUUGCCACCAUCUUGGGAACUCUGUGAGCAAGGGCCUCAGGUAACAUUUUGGUGACCACGAAGUGACCUCCAAAGCGAUGCGGAGUCUCACUGUGUUGCAAAUUCCUGACCUCAAGUGAUCUUCCUGCCUGGGCCUCAAAGUGCGGGGAUUAUACGCAGGGGCCACUGCUUUCAGCCUUUAAAUUCUGUUAAAAACAGCGUUGGUGAGGGUCAGCGCUGCCACUGCACAACCUCAGGGUUGGAACCACCACCAUGGAAACUUUUGCUGCUGACACACAUGUACCCACCCACAGAACCAGAAGCCACCACACCCACCCCCAAAUGGACAAUUCAGUACUUCCCUAGUUUCUUAUAGACAACAUAUAGGUUUCUCAUGCUAUUUGAUUUCCUCUGACAAUCUGUUUUUAUUGGUGCAUUUAGAC